CCAAAGUUCAGACGGACCUCCUGCAGAACCCUGGGGCUAGGAGUAAGAUGCAAACAGUGAGCUACAGAGAAAGCUCCAGGAAUGCGUCUUUUUUGCAAGGAUUGUCUGACCAGGCCUGUUCUACUGGCUUGUCCUAUGGAUCCAAAGCAGGAAAGAUCCCAGUGCUGACUGCCAGAUCUCUUCCAUCGCUCUGGAAGGAGUGUUACAGAGAACACAGAACUGUUGGUGAAGAUGAAAACAGGACUGCUGUCUUUUGUUUUGACUCUUUGCUGUGUUCUGGGAUCACAGGUGUUACUACAAGGUACAGACAAAUGAGAUUCCUCAUCAGUAACUUCACAGAUCUGCAAUUUACUUCUGAGGAAUCAUCCUGGACCCAUUUUACAGUCCAACAAUAUACUUUCCUCUAAAUUGGCAUUGGCAUCCUUUUGGAGUAUGCCCUAGAAGACUCCAUUUGUCUUCACAGACCCUAAUGGACUUCAGCAAAUAGCAGAGAGAGACAUUUAUGCAUGAGGACGGUUAUGUCAUCUGGCUGGUGUAAAUCUCCUGCUUCCUUGUGUGCUGUGAGCAAGCUCUGCUGUUGUGAAGAGGCAGUUUGGCUUGGUGCUGCUACCCAGAGCAAGAGAAAGAGCACUGAGCCCCCCAGAAUCCACCCACACUGUUUCUGCUGCUGUGUUCAAAAAGCCACGGGGCUCUGGGCCCUUGCUGGCAGGAUGGGAGGGACAAGGAACAGCCCUGCAGGUUGGUGACAGAAGGUUUAGCAAAGGGCUCCUGGAAGCCUUCCCUCUGCCAUACUUCCACACGGCGAAUGUUCCCGUUACUACUUGCAAGCUGGUCGCAGAGCACAGCAAAUACCAGGUACAAUAAAGACCCAGACAGCAGAACGGAGUAUAAAUAGAUGAUGGAAUUCCUGGCAUCAGCUCUGGAGCAGUUUGGGACUGGAACGAGUGAAAAAUACAGUUUCUCUAAAAGGGAAAUUUCCUGCGAGUAAAAGCCAAAUGUUCCCCCUUGCUCCCCCUCCUUCUUUCCCCAGAUUCCAGUUUUUCACUGGGGAGAAUCCAAGUGUUUCAAGUGAGCUCAAGCAGAAUUUCGCUGUGUUGAACUGGCCUGAUUUGGGAUGCAAACCGACCUCUGAAAGGCUGAAAUUUCCCGUGGGAGCAGAAAUUCGGAAUUUUGCUCAGCUCCAGUUACUCUGUGCAUGGAAAUGGCUUCCAGCAAACAAACAGCGCAGACAGGAGAUGCACCCGGAAGGCUCACGGCCCUUAGGAAGCUCUGGAAAACCCAAGCUGGAUUUAACAUCAGUGAGAAAACCUGGAAUCAGAGCCGUGUCCCAAAACCCGGAGCUUCUGUGUUGGAUGUCUGCGCAUCUCAGCCUUAGAGACCUGAGCAGGGCUCUGGUUACGCCCCAUGGAGGGAGACUAUGGAGGCUCAAGUCCUGCGUAUGGGAUGGAUGACACCAUAGGGGACAUGUCAUCUCACGUGAGAUAAGUGGCCCAAUAUGCACAUAGUGUGUUUCUGCUUCAUUCUGCUGAAGACGAGCAUUUACACAGGCCGUUCUGAAAGUAAUGCCUCCUAUUUAUUUCCAAAGAAACAACAACAGAUACAAAGAGCACAAUAAUGCUGUUUGAUAGAGCAAAUUCUCAGCUACAAAACAUUAUUCUUCAACAUGGGCACCACCAUCCACUCUGUAUUUUUGAAAGUAAUGAACAAGAGCCUGUGUGCUGUGCUUGUACAGGCAUGCAUCAGUGGAGGUAACCCACUGUCACCAUCUGAAAUGCAGCACCAACUGUGCUCACUGUGCUCACAUCCACCAUUCGAUCUCCAUAAACACUCAGCAAAUGUUGGUGAAUGUCAAUGGAUGCCAUUUUUUCUGCAUGGAGGAUUUAAUUCCACCCCUUUGCUUCAUACAUGCUUCCAUGACAGACACCAUUUUGCCACGCUGUCCCUCAGCUGUUGUUUGUCACACGGCAACAAAACAUAAUGGGAUACUGGUGGGAAGGUUCAGCCUCUACUGCCAUCCAAUCAACAUCUGCUUCUGAUCAUAUAGCAGGAGGCAAUACUUUCAGAGCAGCCCUUGUAUAAUGGCUCUUUUUAGGUGACAUUUUCUUUUGGGUAAUGGAUACAAAAAGAGGAAAAGGGAGAGCAAACCAAUAGAAAAAUCAUAAUGUGAUUGCUUUUAAGUGGCUUUUUUUGACCCGUUGUUUCGAAAAGGUGCCGCAAAUCAGUCAAAGUUUCCUCUUCCCAUCUGCGAAGGUGCUGUUCUAAAUUCAACCUCACACGAAAAUUCAAGCCGCCUCGUCCUCACUGGGGCUUUAAAUCAAAUUAGUUAACUGAAUUAGGAAUGCUUUUUGCUUUUAUACGUUUGGUUGAGACUGAUGAGCCCAGAGCCGUGAAGGAGCUCAGUCUGACUGCAGCUGCUGCCGGACCUGCAUGCAGUGAUCCUCGUGCCCAGAGCUUCCCCGAGCCUGCCCCGUAUUUUCUGCACCAAUGACAAAUACCUGGUGUCAUUGAUAUUCCAUUAGUUUCCUUCACUGAAAGAUCGGACAGCUUUAAAAAGCCAAUAAAUUCCCACACGUUGUCUCUAAGAAAAGGAUAAAGGAUUCCUUGGCGGGCCACACACCAUUAAGCCCCAGAAGCGAGUGGUGUUUUAUGGUUUGCGGAGCUGAGGUCACUGCUUUGGGAUGGAUGCAAUUAAGGCUCACAGAAGCUACCAAAGCCUGCUGCUUCUUCAAGUGCUCUCAAAAAGACACCUUGCUUAGAGGAGUGCUGGUGCAGUUCCCCUUAUUCUGGUCCUGGGAGCAUACCCCAGCAUAUCCCAGUCCUGGGAGCAACCUUGCACCCUCUGACAGGGUGCUGAGGCAUUGGAACAGGCUGGCAGAGAGCUGUGGGUGCCCCAUCCCUAAAGGUGCUUAAGGCUGGGUUGGAUGGGGCCCUGAGCAGCCUGAUCCCAUGGGAGAUGUCCCUGCCUACUGCAGGGAUUGGAACUGGGUGGGUGCUGAGGUCCCUUCCAACCCAAACCAUUCUAUGCAAAGCAGCAUGGAUCCCACCUGAGAAAGCCUCGUGAAGAUCCAGGGAUUGAAUGCAUUUGAAGCCACAGCAUCCACUUGCUCUGUAGACUAGAGGACAUAGGUGUUCACCCACUAUUUCAAAGUGUUUUUUGGGGUGCUGCUUAUCUUCUACCAUGGGCAACGUGCCUACCUUGUGCUCUCCACACCUCAAAAGACGUCACAGAAUCAUUAAGGUUGGAAAAGACUGCUAAGAUCAUCUUGUCCAACCAUCAGCCCAGUGCCUCCAUGCCCACUGACCACGUCCCUCAGUGCCGUAUGCCAUAUCUCAAGCCGCAUGGCCUUCUCUUUGAAUACUCAGACAUUCAAUAUUCGUGAUGUGAAAUUACGGGAGCUUCCUCAUUUCCCACUGUGCUCAGGAACUCUGGAUGCUGUCCCUUUUCAGGUGCAGAGCAGCUUUUGCUGCCUUCAAGCUGACUGCAAGAACAGCCAUUGCACUGCUGGGCAUAAUGGAGCUAAAGUCAGAGCUGGUGUCCUCAGCCUGGACCUGGAAAAAGAGC
ensembl:lncRNA